CGAAUUCUAGAUUAUGGCAAAUUGGACCUCUAUAUGAAAGAGAAGGACCUACUAGAAAGUUACAUUUAACCUUAAUAUAAUUAAUUAUACCAACUCCAUCAACACCAUGCUUAAUGUCGACUUGGUGAAAAAGCUAGAGUGUGGCCAUAAACUUUCUCUCAUUUCCCUCAAAACCCAAUGGGAUUACUCCAAUCAGGUCAAAAACACAAAAAGGAAACUAGGGGUUGAUAUUCCACAUUGUAAGCCCCGUAGAACCAAACAGGAUUAGCAUGAUUGAUGAAGUUGUAGCCUACAAUAAACGGAGAAUGUUAAGUUAAUUGCAAGAUGGUGAUGAUGAGUUGUUUGCUAGUCAUCACCUUGAAUGUACCAGCAAAGGAGCAUAGUGGCACAACGGCGCAAGAUGUAGAGUCGAGCACGUUCCUGCUUAACCAAGGAAGCACACUUGGUGGAGAAACCAUGCCCCUUCCGUUUUGCACAGGCCUUGGCUCCCCUCUUGUAUUGCUGGGAUUGAAACUCAGCCAUGGGUAAGAGAAAAGUAUUUGCUUAAACUCGUUAGAAAAAGAAAAGGAAAAAAAAAAGAGAAAAAAGAAGGUCAAUGUAGAGCUUUAGGCCGUGAGGGUUAAGGGUAAAUGUAUUUAUACAAUUACAAUCCCAAAAUCCAAGAAAGGUUAACUGGAAUAUGAAGGAAGCAAGUGAACAUGAUCAGGUUCAGAAACUGAGGGAUCUGCAUUUCCAUGGAAGAUGGUGCAUAGUUUUCUAUACAAAGAUGACUUAACGUGGCCUUUGCCUUUUAUUACUUAUUCAAUGUAACACCCUUAUUUUAAACUAGCAAAGGACUAUGAGAC
rnacentral:lncRNA from 1 species